UCAGAGAUAGAUCUUUUAAAAACCUCUUCAAGACUUUUUGGUUUAACCAGAAACAGCUCUGACGUCGCCAGCACUAAACCCACCAGACUCCACUUAAAAUAACAAUACUUUUAGUGUGUACAGAGCCAACAUAUUUUCAUUUGUAAAUUGGUCAACUAUGUGUUUAUUUCAACCAAAUCUAGAGUUGUGAUUGUUGGAAAAGUGGAAAGACGACCCAAAACAGCUUUUGAUAGUUUAACAUAGUUUAUGUUGACUUUGAAUAAAGUGUAUUUUAUGAUCCUAAAAUUACUGUUUAUUUACAUGGAGUCUGGUGUCUUAAGCAAAGGCAAUUUUGCAGAUGUUUCCAUGUUUAAAAAAAAG